rnacentral:tRNA from 1 species
UGAUGUUCGGGGAUCCGCGGACGGGUGCCGCGGUUUCCGUCGCCGCCCCCGGGAUGCUCCCGAAUCCGUCCGGUGGUUCGGUGCCGUCGGCACCACCC